GAGUUUGAUCCUGGCUCAGGAUGAACGCUGGCGGCGUGCCUAAUACAUGCAAGUCGAGCGAACAGAUAAGGAGCUUGCUCCUUUGACGUUAGCGGCGGACGGGUGAGUAACACGUGGGUAACCUACCUAUAAGACUGGAAUAACUCCGGGAAACCGGGGCUAAUGCCGGAUAAUAUUUAGAACCGCAUGGUUCUAAAGUGAAAGAUGGUUUUGCUAUCACUUAUAGAUGGACCCGCGCCGUAUUAGCUAGUUGGUGGGGUAAUGGCUUACCAAGGCAACGAUACGUAGCCGACCUGAGAGGGUGAUCGGCCACACUGGAACUGAGACACGGUCCAGACUCCUACGGGAGGCAGCAGUAGGGAAUCUUCCGCAAUGGGCGAAAGCCUGACGGAGCAACGCCGCGUGAGUGAUGAAGGUCUUCGGAUCGUAAAACUCUGUUAUUAGGGAAGAACAAAUGUGUAAGUAACUGUGCACGUCUUGACGGUACCUAAUCAGAAAGCCACGGCUA
rnacentral:rRNA from 1 species